GCUUGCUCCUCUGACGUUAGCGGCGGACGGGUGAGUAACACGUGGAUAACCUACCUAUAAGACUGGGAUAACUUCGGGAAACCGGAGCUAAUACCGGAUAAUAUAUUGAACCGCAUGGUUCAAUAGUGAAAGACGGUUUUGCUGUCACUUAUAGAUGGAUCCGCGCCGCAUUAGCUAGUUGGUAAGGUAACGGCUUACCAAGGCAACGAUGCGUAGCCGACCUGAGAGGGUGAUCGGCCACACUGGAACUGAGACACGGUCCAGACUCCUACGGGAGGCAGCAGUAGGGAAUCUUCCGCAAUGGGCGAAAGCCUGACGGAGCAACGCCGCGUGAGUGAUGAAGGUCUUCGGAUCGUAAAACUCUGUUAUUAGGGAAGAACAAAUGUGUAAGUAACUAUGCACGUCUUGACGGUACCUAAUCAGAA
rnacentral:rRNA from 1 species